ensembl:lncRNA
AAAUUCUGGGCCCCGGGCCACAGGGUUCCAGGGCUUUUAUAGGGCCCUGCAGACAGUCAGCUUCCAAGGGCUACACUGACUGCUGGUCAGUGGGCUUAAACUAGGGGACUGGGGGCUGCUUUAGGUGGGAACGGUAGUGCGGGGAGCUUGUUCCCAGAAGCCUGUUUACAGAAGCAGAAAUGGCUGAUUAUCUCUUGCUCCCAGGAAGGCUUCUGGUUAUCUCUAGCUUAUUGUUAGUGACUUUCCAUUUUGUGGGGCCUCCUGGCCUGGGACUGCUCAGGGUCAUUUUCCUCUUCAAGAAGGGAAGUUCACUAUACUCUCUGUGUGUGUGUGUGUGUGUGUGUGUGUGUGUGUUUUAAGCAAGAGUCAAGGCACUUAUCCAUUUCUGAGAAAUCAGGAGGUUUCAGUCUGGGCUCACACCAUAUUCAGGAAAGCCAUCUAAGGAUAAGAAAUCACAUGGUGGUGUGCCCCACCCCCGAGAGGCAGGCAGGAAGCCUGGGGCUCCCCGCAGCCAGCCUGUUCAUUCUGGGGUGGAAGUGCAGCCCUGUGCCUCAGCUCCCACUGACGAGCCCUCCCAGCCGGGGUGGUAAAGCCCUAUACUCAGGCCUGUGGCUCUGCCCUGCCUUCUGCUCCCCGGGCCUGCACACGCAAUGGGACCCGUCAUCCCACCGCUGCUGCUGCUGUCACCGAUUGUGUUGCUCAUCACCUGUUACAUGCUGGGAUACCUGCAGAGAAGUCGAGCGUCUGGGCAUCAUGGAGGACCUAUGCGACAGGCUGCAGGAUAUUUCCAGAGUGUAAGAUGGAAUGCUAAUGUGUAUUUCAAUGCCCAAAUGGAUAUCAGUGAAGUUGAGGUUUCCAUGGGUGGGCAAAGUGCCAUCCACACUGAAGGGAACCAACAGAGCUUUCUGAGGACAGACCAUGAAGAUGACAGUCUCCCAUAUGGACACCAGGACCGUGGGGACCUCUCCGUGCCUGUCUUGAGACCAAGGGCUCAGAUUCGUGAAUCCCCCAGUGACACUGUGAACAAUUGUAGAGAGUUAGCCCGUCUUUGACCUGCUCAGUCAUUCAUUGAGCCCUUUUCUCUGCUCCUGUAGCCUCGAAGGAUGGGGCCACCUUGCCCCUGUUCAAACCCUAAAGCCUGGUCCUAUUCAGCUCUGGGUAUUGACAUUUCCACAGCUUCCCCCACCAGAUCAAGGCUUUCUGUUUCCCAUCGCCCUUGGUGCUCUUUUUCUCAGAUUCCUGUCUCCUCCCUUUCUCUCUCUGUACCUCCAUCCCUCCCUUAGCCUUUUUCAUCUCCCUGUGAAUUGCUUUCUUUCCCUUUGAAGUCCUAGACUCCUAGCCCUUCUCCUUAGUUCAGAUUAGCAUAAAUGCCUCAUUCUGCCCAUCUGUCCUUGGAAUCUCACGUUUAUGCAAAUCCCCCAUAUGUACAUUAGUAAAUUUGAUUUUUUCCCUGAUAAUCUGUCUCCUGUCAAUUUAAUUCUUAGGCCACGUAUAAGAAUCUUGAAGCGUAUAGAAAAUUUUUUCCUCCCCACCAAUGUAUUUCGGAGAAGGGGUUCUGUCAUGUGAAAUAUUUAUGAUUAGCAAAAUGAGUGGGUAGUUCUUACAAGAAUGAGAAGACCAGCUACAUGAGCUAUGUGUGUCGCUGGCAGGAUGUGUGAGGGCUGAGGUGGGGACAGCCAGGGCAGCCACUCUCCCCAGGCUCACAGGGCGGGGCAUGACCUUGAGAUUGCAAAUGAAGCUGGUAGCUGGCAAGCUUUCCCUAAUGUUCCCACACAGACUUCCCAUAUCUCUGAAAGGCCACCCUGCACUGGUUCCAGGAGCUCCCAGAAGACCAGGGGCUCUGCCCUGCCUUGUGCUCUCACUGAAGAUGAGAGACAAGCAGGGGAUUCUCCCAGCUCGCUGUUGUUGGUUCAGAAAGCUCCCCUAAAACCUCUUUUCCUUGUAUACAAAAAUCAACUUCAGGACAAAAACCAUUUUGUGGCAGGAAUUCCUCUAGCUGACCUCCUCAACUCUUUUUGUGUUCCCUUUCUCCCCUUCGCAAAAUAGCUCCCA